GUUCACUGAAUGGAAAAUUUUGGCAAGUAGAGAAUUGAAUAACUAACCUAAGGCUAAAAUACAGGUGUUUGAAAAGAGACGAAUUGAAGAAAUUUCCAAUUCUGCAUUUUUUGCCAAAAUGAUAUAUACACUGAUCAGUUACAACAUUAAAAGCACCUACCUAAUAUCAUGUAGAUGCCCCUCUUGAUGCCAAAACCGCUCUG